rnacentral:rRNA from 1 species
CCUACGGGUGGCAGCAGUGAGGAAUAUUGGUCAAUGGACGGAAGUCUGAACCAGCCAUGCCGCGUGCAGGAAGACGGCUCUAUGAGUUGUAAACUGCUUUUGUACAAGGGUAAACCUGAAUACGUGUAUUCAGCUGAAAGUAUUGUACGAAUAAGGAUCGGCUAACUCCGUGCCAGCAGCCGCGGUAAUACGGAGGAUCCAAGCGUUAUCCGGAUUUAUUGGGUUUAAAGGGUGCGUAGGCGGAUUGAUAAGUGAGAGGUGAAAUGUCGGGGCUUAACUCGGGAACUGCCUUUGAUACUGUUGGUCUUGAGAGUAGGUGAGGUAGGCGGAAUGUAUGGUGUAGCGGUGAAAUGCUUAGAGAUCAUGCAGAACACCGAUUGCGAAGGCAGCUUACCAGUCUAUAACUGACGUUGAGGCACGAAAGCGUGGGGAGCAAACAGGAUUAGAUACCCUUGUAGUC